CGGGUGAGUAACGCGUGAGGAACCUGCCUCAAAGAGGGGGACAACAGUUGGAAACGACUGCUAAUACCGCAUAAGCCCACGGCUCGGCAUCGAGCAAAGGGAAAAGGAGCAAUCCGCUUUGAGAUGGCCUCGCGUCCGAUUAGCUAGUUGGUGAGGUAAUGGCCCACCAAGGCGACGAUCGGUAGCCGGACUGAGAGGUUGAACGGCCACAUUGGGACUGAGACACGGCCCAG
rnacentral:rRNA from 1 species